rnacentral:lncRNA from 1 species
CUUCCUCAUCCCUGCCCCUGCCCCGUCACUGCACCUUUUCCUGGCCUGGCCUGGCCAUCAGAUUGCCAUGUAUGAGGCAGAGCUGGAGCGGGCGCACGGGCAGAUGCUGGAGGAGAUGCAGUCCUUGGAGGAAGAUAAGAACCGGGCCAUUGAGGAGGCCUUUGCGCGGGCCCAGGUGGAGAUGAAGGCUGUACACGAGAACCUGGCAGGUGUCAGGACCAACCUGCUGACGCUGCAGCCUGCGCUGAGGACCCUCACCAACGACUACAAUGGGCUCAAGCGCCAGGUGCGGGGCUUCCCCCUGCUGCUGCAGGAGGCUCUCCGGAGUGUCAAAGCUGAGAUUGGCCAGGCCAUUGAGGAGGUCAACAGCAACAACCAGGAGCUGCUGCGCAAGUACCGCCGGGAGCUGCAGCUGCGCAAGAAGUGCCAUAACGAGCUGGUGCGGCUGAAGGGUGAGUGUCUUCAAAUGUGCGUCAGAGCUGUACUUGCUGCUGCCGCCGCCGCCACCGCCAAGGCACAGAAAAGUCAGGAAACUUGCUUAAAGACACACACCUAGUGUAUGGUCCACCCCAGAUUUGAACUUGAUCAUCUUCCAAGCUCCUUGCCCAUGGUAGGUUCUGCCCACCCUGGGGGAUGUGGUAGGGCACUGUGCAAUGGUAGCACUUGUUCCAGGUUUGGGGGUCACUGAUCCCUGCCCUGAGCCC